rnacentral:rRNA from 1 species
UACGUAGGGUGCGAGCGUUAAUCGGAAUUACUGGGCGUAAAGCGUGCGCAGGCGGUUUUGUAAGCCAGAUGUGAAAUCCCCGGGCUUAACCUGGGAACUGCAUUUGGGACUGCAAGGCUUGAGUGCGGCAGAGGAGACUGGAAUUCCUGGUGUAGCAGUGAAAUGCGUAGAUAUCAGGAGGAAUACCGAUGGCGAAGGCUGGUCUCUGGGCCGACACUGACGCUGAUGCGCGAAAGCCAGGGGAGCGAACGGG